GGCUCAGAUUGAACGCUGGCGGCAUGCUUUACACAUGCAAGUCGAACGGCAGCGGGGGCUUCGGCCUGCCGGCGAGUGGCGAACGGGUGAGUAAUGCAUCGGAACGUGCCCAUGUCGUGGGGGAUAACGUAUCGAAAGGUACGCUAAUACCGCAUACGUCCUGAGGGAGAAAGCGGGGGAUCUUCGGACCUCGCGCGAUUGGAGCGGCCGAUGUCGGAUUAGCUAGUAGGUGAGGUAAAGGCUCACCUAGGCGACGAUCCGUAGCGGGUCUGAGAGGAUGAUCCGCCACACUGGGACUGAGACACGGCCCAGACUCCUACGGGAGGCAGCAGUGGGGAAUUUUGGACAAUGGGCGCAAGCCUGAUCCAGCCAUGCCGCGUGAGUGAAGAAGGCCUUCGGGUUGUAAAGCUCUUUCGGCCGGGAAGAAAUCGUGGUCUCUAACAUAGGCCAUGGAUGACGGUAC
rnacentral:rRNA from 1 species